UCUACUAAUAUCCUUUUUUUUUUUUUGUGUUUUGUAGAAAAAAUAAAAGGCAUUCAUCUCUAUCUAACAACAACAAGAAUAUACUCAUCUCAAUCCAACAACAACGCGAGUAAGUUCAUCUCUAUCUAAUGACAACAACAACAUGGGUAUGUAGAUGAAACUCAAUUUUCUUCAUUCUUUUUUCUAUCAUAUCAUGUUUAUGAUUUUUUUUUCUUGAACUUCAUCACAGCCGAAUAAAUAUCUAAAGAUCAAACACAUGUAUGAAGGUAUGGUAGUAUAAUACUACACAGUAGACAGUUGGAGUACAAAAUAUGAGGAAGAACAAAUAAGAGGAAGAAUAGAACACCGUUAAAAGAACAAUAGCAAAGAAGUGAAGAGGAAGACAACAAAGACGAUGUGUUUUCCGGCCAAAGAUUGUAUUUCUCGGCGUGGUGGUCACCGACGAAGUGCUCAAAUCUUGAUAUUUUCUUUAUGGGUUUUGUAGAGGAGAUGGAGGAGUGUCUUUAUAUGGUGAUGGUUUUUCAAAGAUGUUGUAUGGUGGUCAAGAUCUAGCAAAAAGGUGGCGGUUAGAAUAUUAAAAAAUGUCUCCAAUCUGAAAAUAAA